rnacentral:rRNA from 1 species
GUGGGGAAUAUUCCGCAAUGGACGAAAGUCUGACGGAGCAACGCCGCGUGAGUGAUGAAGGUUUUCGGACUGUAAAGCUCUGUUGUUUAGGACGAAAGUGCCUGUUGCAAAUAGUUACAGGUAUUGACGGUACUGAACGAGGAAGCCACGGCUAACUACGUGCCAGCAGCCGCGGUAAUACGUAGGUGGCAAGCGUUGUCCGGAAUUAUUGGGCGUAAAGAGCAUGUAGGCGGGAAUCUAAGUCUGUUGUGAAAAUGCGGGGCUCAACCCCGUAUUGGGAUGGAAACUGGGUUUCUUGAGUGCAGGAGAGGAAAGGGGAAUUCCCAGUGUAGCGGUGAAAUGCGUAGAUAUUGGGAGGAACACCAGUGGCGAAGGCGCCUUUCUGGACUGUGUCUGACGCUGAGAUGCGAAAGCCAGGGUAGCGAACGGGAUUAGAUACCCGAGUAGUCC